rnacentral:tRNA from 1 species
GCCCUCCUAGCUCAAUGGUAGAGCAAAUGACUCUUAAUCAUUAGGUUGUCGGUUCGAGUCCGACGGGGGGCA